CCCGACUACAUGAAGCCGGAAUCGCUAGUAAUCGCGGAUCAGAAUGCCGCGGUGAAUACGUUCCCGGGUCUUGUACACACCGCCCGUCACACCAUGGGAGUCGGAAAUGCCCGAAGUCAGUGACCUAACCGAAAGGGAGGAGCUGCCGAAGGUGGAGCCGGUAACUGGGGUGAAGUCGUAACAAGGUACC
rnacentral:rRNA from 1 species